AGCGAACGCUGGCGGCAGGCCUAACACAUGCAAGUCGAACGAAGUCUUCGGACUUAGUGGCGGACGGGUGAGUAACACGUGGGAACGUACCUUUUGGUUCGGAACAACUCAGGGAAACUUGAGCUAAUACCGGAUGAGCCCUUAGGGGGAAAGAUUUAUCGCCGAAAGAGCGGCCCGCGUUAGAUUAGCUAGUUGGUGAGGUAAAGGCUCACCAAGGCUACGAUCUAUAGCUGGUCUGAGAGGAUGAUCAGCCACACUGGGACUGAGACACGGCCCAGACUCCUACGGGAGGCAGCGGUGGGGAAUCUUGCGCAAUGGGCGAAAGCCUGACGCAGCCAUGCCGCGUGAAUGAUGAAGGUCUUAGGAUUGUAAAAUUCUUUUACCAGGGACGAUAAUGACGGUACCUGGAGAAAAAGCCCCGGCUAACUUCGUGCCAGCCGCCCGCCGUAAGAC
rnacentral:rRNA from 1 species